rnacentral:tRNA from 1 species
GAGGGUAUAGCUCAGUGGUAGAGCACAUGCCUAGCAUGCAUGAGGUCCUAGGUUCAAUCCCCAGUACCUCCA